rnacentral:lncRNA from 1 species
GGAGUUAUUAGAGUUUUUAGCCUAGUUUUGUGUCCUUGAGUCUUGUUUAAUAUUUUUAAUAGAUUAGCAAUCCCUCCUAAUCCCCGGCCUAGAACGAUACCCUACUUACAUCUAUACUACAAUUGUCAAAAAGAGGGUAAAAUUUGUGUGUCAAGUAAUUCUCACAUCAGCCACUAUAUUUUUUUUGCUUACUACUUAGGAAGUUUGUUAGGCAUUAAAGAUUGUCUUUAAACUUUCUUAUUUUGUUAAGAACUUAUUAUGUGGCUUCAUAUGAUGGAAGACCACUAUUAGUGCCUAAAUGUAUAAAGGUAUUUAUAUUAGUCUCUAAAUGUAUAGAGCUAAUACUUUUUGUAUUAAACAUUAUGAAUGUUUGAAAUAUCAUAUUAAUGUAAUGUGAAGAAUGCCUUUUUAAUAUACUAUUUCCUUAAAGUAGUGUUAUGAAUUGAAAAUUGUCUUGUUCGAUCCUAGAUGAGAUACAAGAGUUAUAUCACUUAUUGUAAUGUGAUAACCAAACUUUAGAUUUAUCAAUUAUGGAUAGAUCUCACAUGUAGGACAUAAAAGGAUACAAUGAAUCUUUAGAUUUGGUUCCAUUUGUCUACUUAUGAGUUCUAUAUGAAUUGACAAAAGUCUAGAGUAUCCUUUCUUGAAGAAAAUGAAGAUCACAUUAUAAUGAUAUAAGUAAUAAGAAAAACGUUUCUUAUAUGGUUAUCACUUGAAACACAAUGAUCAAGAUCACUCUUGAUUCAAUUAGUAGUUUUGAACAACUAAUUGGGCAUUCUUUAAAAGGUUUUAAAAUGCCAAUUUUGUUAGUGAUUAAACCAAGAAAGAAGUGUCUAAAUCUAUAAAAUGUUUAAAGACUUUAGUCACUUAAUAAAAGGACAUUAACUUAGUGAAGAUUGAAACAAAUAAAGCUUGAAAUGUUUUAAAGCUACUACACAAUGUCUUCUUCCAAUAUACUCCACUUUCAUACAUUUUGAAUAUAUGAAAUGAUUUCUCAUUAAAGUCAUGAGAAAUAGUGGGAGGUGUGAAAAUGGAUAUAAACUUGAAUAUGAUUGGUUUAUAGUUGUCUAAAGAAUAAUAGUAUUUGACUAUUAUUAAGAGUUUGCAAUUUUAAUUGUUAAAAGGACUCAAGCUCUUCAAACUUUAAAAUUCUAUGUUGUGUGACAUUCUAAAGAAUAGUCUUUGAAUGUUGGUUUCGUCAACCUAGCAUAAAAUGG